rnacentral:rRNA from 1 species
CCUACGUGAGGCAGCAGUGGGGAAUAUUGCACAAUGGGGGAAACCCUGAUGCAGCGACGCCGCGUGAGUGAAGAAGGAAUUCGUUACGUAAAGCUCUAGCAGCAGGGAAGAAACACUGACCUUACGGUCAGCAGACGGUACCUGAGUAAGAAGCCCCGGCUAACUACGUGCCAGCAGCCGCGGUAAUACGUAGGGGGCAAGCGUUAUCCGGAUUUAAUGGGUGUAACGGGAGCGUAGACGGUGCGCCAAGUCUGGAGUGAAAGGCCGCAGCUUAACUGCGGAACUGCUUUGGAAACUGGCGAACUAGAGUGCGGGAGUGGUAAGCGGACUUCCUAGUGUCGCGGUGA